GGGAAUGUGGCUUAGUGGUAGAGUGCUUGCCUAGCAUGCAUGAAGCCCUGGGUUCGAUUCCUCAAGACCA
rfam:Dipodomys ordii contig_45612, whole genome shotgun sequence.